UACGUAGGUGGCUAGCGUUGUCCGGAUUUACUGGGCGUAAAGAGCGCGCAGGCGGUCGUUCAAGUCGAGUGUGAAAGCCCCCGGCUCAACUGGGGAGGGUCACUCGAUACUGAUCGACUUGAAGGCAGGAGAGGGAAGCGGAAUUCCCGGUGUAGAGGUGAAAUUCGUAGAUAUCGGGAGGAACACCAGUGGCGAAGGCGGCGAUCUGGGAAGAUACUGACGCUGAGGUGCGAAAGCGUGGGGAGCAAACAGG
rnacentral:rRNA from 1 species